CGUGUCGUGAGAUGUUGGUUAAGGUACUCCGUAACGAGCGCAACCCUUGUCCUUAGUUACCAGCACGUUAUGGUGGGCACUCUAAGGAGACUGCCGGUGACAAACCGGAGGAAGGUGGGGAUGACGUCAAGUCAUCAUGGCCCUUACGGCCUGGGCUACACACGUGCUACAAUGGUCGGUACAAAGGGUUGCCAAGCCGCGAGGUGGAGCUAAUCCCAUAAAACCGAUCGUAGUCCGGAUCGCAGUCUGCAACUCGACUGCGUGAAGUCGGAAUCGCUAGUAAUCGUGAAUCAGAAUGUCACGGUGAAUACGUUCCCGGGCCUU
rnacentral:rRNA from 1 species